rnacentral:rRNA from 1 species
GUAGGGGGCAAGCGUUGUCCGGAAUUAUUGGGCGUAAAGCGCGCGCAGGCGGUCUCUUAAGUCUGAUGUGAAAGCCCACGGGCUCAACCGUGGAGGGUCAUUGGAAACUGGGAGACUUGAGUGUAGGAGGGGAAAGUGGAAUUCCACGUGUAGCGGUGAAAUGCGUAGAUAUGUGGAGGAACACCAGUGGCGAAGGCGACUUUCUGGCCUACAACUGACGCUGAGGCGCGAAAGCGUGGGGAGCAAACAGGAUUAGAUACCCUGGUAGUCCACGCUGUAAACGAUGAGUGCUAGGUGUUAGGGGUUUCGAUGCCCUUAGUGCCGAAGUUAACACAUUAAGCACUCCGCCUGGGGAGUACGGCCGCAAAGGCUG